rnacentral:tRNA from 2 species
GGAGAGCUAGCCUAAUUGGUAAGGCAGUAGUCUUGAAAACUACCGAGCGAUGCUCUUCAGGGUUCGAGUCCCUGGCUCUCCG